UACGUAGGUGGCGAGCGUUGUCCGGAAUCACUGGGCGUAAAGGGCGCGUAGGCGGCUAGUCAAGUCGCAAGUGGAAUACCAGGGCUCAACCCUGGGGGGUCUUGCGAAACUGAAUGGCUUGAGUGCAGUAGAGGAGAGUGGAAUUCCUGGUGUAGCGGUGAAAUGCGCAGAUAUCAGGAAGAACACCCGUGGCUAAGGCGGCUCUCUAGUACGGUACUGACGCUGAGACGCGAAAGCGUGGGGAGCGAACAGG
rnacentral:rRNA from 1 species